rnacentral:sRNA from 1 species
UGUUUUGAGAAACCUCUGUUUGAGUUGGCGUCUUCUGAUUAAUAAUAUACAUUGGAAACGGUUUAUUUUCCUACGAGAACUAUCGCAUCACGCCAGAUAGAACCUAAAGUAUGAUCUCGAUUUAUAUAUCUCCGAAACAAAAGUUAUAUACAUAUUUCUCCACGAAAAC